rnacentral:rRNA from 1 species
CCUUCGGGUUGUAAAGCUCUGUCGAGCGGGACGAAAACCCUAGGAGUGAAUAGCUCCUAGGACUGACGGUACCGCUAAAGGAAGCACCGGCUAACUCCGUGC